rnacentral:lncRNA from 1 species
CCUCCCUCGUGUUCUCUUCCAGUACAACAUCAAAAAGAAGGAGGAGAUCGUACCCGAGGAGCCUGCCAUGCCUGACAACCCGCUUAUGAGGAAGAAGAAAACGCCAGAGGAACUUGCAGCCGAAGCCGAGGCCGAAGAUCAGGACGAAUUCACGAAGUUGAAAAACACCAUAGAAACACAAAUUAACGAAGUGAAACAGCAAAUAGAAGGCAAGUGUAUCCUACAGUAAGCCUGUGGAGGUGACCCUGUGGGUGCUCCCGCCGCUAUGCAAAACGAUAGGCCUACAAGUGUCUCCUCUCUAGGGCGACCAACCACCACUCCUCCCCCACACCUCUGGCCGCGGUACCCCCGUCUAUCCCUCUGGGUUUAUGGCUCGCCGUGUGAAACCAUCUGCAGCAGAUACCAAGGGAACCGUUUUCGUCUUUUAUUUUUAUUGUUAUUUUUCCAACUGAUGUCUAAAAUGAAGGAAUUCGUGCGAGCGUGUGUGUGUGUUUGUGUGCGUGCCUCGAUUAUGGGUCACAGAUUAAAAUGUGGUCCUGUAGGGGAAGAAGUAUGAGAAAGGUUUUCGAAAUGAAGAAGGACCCCCCAAAAAAUCAAUGAUCAUAAGGGGGUAAUAAUUCCACCAAUGGAGUCGAGAACCCUCUCUGGCCCGUCUGGAUUUACAUCUUCGCCGGAAUGGACGCGGGUUAUUAUACGCUCAUCUCUACAGUUGACUAAAAAAAGAAAAAAACAAAUGAAAGCGAUUGGUACCUGCACCAGCACGUACGACGCCGGCGAAUCAAUGAUAGGAGGAAAGCAGUAUCCCAGACGGUUUAAUAUUCCCACUAAAUUUGCUAUGCUAAUCAGUAUCUAGAAUGCACAAAAAAAAGGAAAAUAAUUUUUUACGAAAAUAUGUUACAGCAAAUGUUGAAAAUUUAUGAAUGGCAUUAAAACUAGGAUUACUGAUUCGCGAAAAUUUUUGGAUUUAUUUUUAUUGAUUUUUUCGCGCGUCUCGACUGCCUUCAGAAUGGAAAUUAUGUUUAUACAGUGUGAUCCUUCAUUAGCUAGGAGGUGAUUUUGUAUAUAGAAUCCCCUUUCUUAUAAGUGCUACCAGCUGUUCCCACGAGACCGUUAAGACUAUGUACCCUUUUGCAUAUAGUGAAUUUUGCAGCUCACUCAGUGGGUCGCGAAAUGGUGAAAGAUGUCAACUUUGUAAGCUGAUCUGUUUCCCUCCAGAUUGAUUUGCUUUUUAGGCCUUUUUCACGUCAGUAUCUGCUAUUAACUGAACGAUUUUAUGCAAAAGAAAGAAUUACAAAACCAAAUCGUCCAGCUUAAUACUUUCAGAAGAAAAAAUAAAUACUAAAAAUUCCCAAAGAAGAAACAUAAAUGAAAAAAAAAUAAACAUUUAAAUCAACUAUCAAAAAACUAUUCUUAACAUAUGAAAAAUAAACAGACAGCACCCCUACCCAGAAAAAAAACAAAGUCUACAUCUUUUAUCAACAUAUAUUUGUCAUUGUUUAUUUGGUAAUGGAAAAAAUGAUAAUCUAUAUAAAGCGUAAAGAUGCGUGGAUUGUUAGAUAACGUGUCCCUCUUGUCCCCAGAGGGCGGGACAGACGCAACCGGGCCAGUUUCUCAGUUCCAAGUUGUUACCAAGGUGUAACCCAACGUAAUCGUCGAUCAUCGAAAGCUCUUGUUUGUCUAGCUUAUUUAUUACAGUGUGUUUAUCGAAGUUGAGGUUACGUUGUAUUUAUGAAAUUAUAAGGAUACGUCUAAGGUCAGGUCAUUUUGACUUCAUGUAGAAGCAUCUCUCUCUCUCUCUAGCUUUUGCCUAGAUUUUUUUGUCUCUGUCAUCGCUGGAUUUUGGUCGGAUUUUUCUCAUGAUUGGUCAAAAUAGGUCUGUUUUAUUUUUUUCGUUUUUCGUUAUCGGUAUUUGUUGAUCACUUUCCUUCCAGGACGUUCCGAGGGUAUGAUACCUUUGUUCCGUGUUUGCAAUGCACUUUACUGAUGAUGAUUAUGGCUGCAUUAAUAUAGAUUUGUGGAAAAUGUGGUGCGUCAUUUGAAAAAAAUAUAUAUCAUUUUUAUUAUUAUUAAUAUUAUUAUUAUUAUUAUUAUUGGUGAAUACUAUUAUUAUCAUAUUCUCAAGGUAAGCAUCACUUUCAUAAUUAGCCUUGUGAUUACUGUUGUUAUCAUCGUUAAAACUGUUUGGUUUCAUUUUCAUUCAAUGUUAACUGUUUGUGAAUCAUUAAGAUUCUUGUUGUACUCAUUGAAAAUUAUUGGAAAUAUGCAAUGUUAUUGUAUUUGUUUGACGUAAUACAAACUAACGCAUUUAAGUCAUGUUAAUUAAAGCUUUAAAGUAUAUUCAAAUUGUUACUGAACUUCAAAAGAAAAAAAAAUAUAUGUAAUUUUAAUCGGCCAUUCUGGUAAUCAGUCCUGUGUUGUUGUCAGGUGUAUUGCAAUCCAUUUGUGUCUGUGAGAAAAUACAAAAAAUCUUUCCUUUGUCUUUCUUUUGUAUAAUGUUCAAAGACGAUUAUUGUGCAUUUUCUUGUUUGAAUCAUGUAUAUGUUGUGUAAAUAAAAAGUGUAACCUACGAUAACCGGCAACCCGAGUCUCGCUUGGCAGAACAGGUGCCAACACAGGUUUUUAAGUCGUAUUUUAAGGAUCGAGUGAGCUGUCAUUAACGAGAAGCGAUGUAUGGUGCUUUUUAAAAGAAGAAUGUUUCAAGAGAAUUCUACAUUAUAGAUUUAAACCAUACUGACUAUAUCUACGUCUUUUCUAGUAUUUCUCUGAGACUUUCCAAAAAAUACUCUUUCUACAUAUGCAUGUAUAUAUGCGUGUAUGUAUAUAUAUGUAUAUGGUUAUACACAAUAUAUAUAUAUGUAUAUAUAUAAUCUUAUAAUCAAAUUUUCGUGGCUUUGAUAUCCAAGCUAAUCAGCAACCUGAAUACUAAAAUAUAUAUAUAUGACGUAAUACCCGAGGCUAUAUCGCGAUAAAAAAAGGCCCAUACAAGUUCAUCUUAAAACUAAUAACUGUGAUGGUUAAACGAGAUGCAAAAGCAACAAAAAAAUUAAAUAAAUAGCCAUUAUGAUAUAGGAAAAUCUGUCUUUGUAUAGAGUUAUUAAGCAGAUUCUUUCGGUUUUAUGUAAAUGUUGAUGACACGGCACUGCAAGUUGCCCGACUCCCGUACUUCAGGAGUUCCAGUGUUUUGUGUAUCCUUCCCUUUAGCUUCGUCGGACUUGGACACCGUGUAGUGUAACAAGGACAAAAAAAAGCAAUGCAUGUAUAUGUACAUAAUAUAGUUAAACAAAAGAAAUGACCUUUAGACUAAUUUUUGUUCAUACGAACUCGUUCAUGAGGUUAUGUAAGCCCGUUGUGGCUAUAGAUGUAUUUUGAAUGGAUUAGAAGCCACGUGAACAAAUAAAAAAAAGCAGCCCUCACAUUUUUUAAAUAUUCUGUAAGUCAAGUUUUCCCUAAACAAAUAUAUAUAUUCAACCAGGGGAAGAUGUGAUUUACAGGAGACUUUCAAGUAGUGUUUGAUAUAGUGCACACAAGCCGUGCUGUUGUAGUGUAUGAUACUCAUGUUACAGGCCCAAGGCGCGCACCCAUGGGCCGGCGUUCCCUCGCUGUGCGCUGACUGGACCUGCGCAGCGAGGCAUGAACGCAUGCGCUCUGGGUCACAGAGCCUGGUGGCCGCAGAUUGUACCCGAAUCCCGAAUCGAGACUAAGCGUAGGAGAGUCAAAGGUAGCAAGACUGGCUGUCCUCGAGCCAAGGUUCCUCUCACUCGCACUGCACCGUCAGUUAGAGAUUUCACGUUCUGUCGAGACAGUUCGACCGUCACUUUUAAAAAAGAUGCUUUGUAAAAUAACGACGAUACUUCAACUGGGCCUUUUUUUAUUUACGAUAUGCCUUGUCUCACCUGGUCAAUCGAAUCAACGCUGGGAAACUUUUUCUCCCGCUUUUAGUGUAUUUCGAACAAGUAUUAUGCAUGUUUAACAAAAUUAGAAGUAAUGGUUAAAUGGGGCUCUGAUAAAAAAUAAAUCUUUAUUCUUCCUCAUUAAAUAACGCUAUACAUUUUCUCCAUCAGUAGAGGUUCAAAUUUAUAGCAAAACGCUGUCUUGUGUAUAUCAAUCCUGCUCGCGUCCCUCCGACUGAGCAAUCGCUAUUCUUUUUUCAUCGUAAACAUUCUAGUCAAAAAUCAUGAGCAAGAAACAGAAGCAGACUCAUAAAACCUGUGGAAAUCCUGUCCUGUGUAAGAGAGAGUAUAAAUUUGUAGACUUUUUGCUUACUGACGCCAGAAUCAUACCCGUUUCCUUUAAUCUAGACAAGUUGUUCUGAACCUUGUUGUUAACUACCGUUGUUGUUGAUUUGAUAGGCUACUCGUCAGUUAUGAUUGUUAGUCACUAUAAUCCGGUAGGAACUUCACGACGCUCUCUGUAUCUCUUCAGCAGGCUCUGGCAAGGGGACCUGAAUGGCGGCUGCGACCUCCUUGCAAAAAAGUAAAAACAAAUCUUCGUUGAUUAUGCAAAAUGUUUUUAAAAAACGUAAUGAAUAUGUCAAUAACUGUGAAAAGAUCAGUGAUUUCGAUGUAAGUUUACAAAUUCCUUUAGGUCUCUAAAUGUCUCGUGGAGAAGCAAGUGAUGAGGACUAUUUUGUUAACGUAACCCGUCCCCUCUUCUGGAGCCUGCUGUACUAUUCCCUUGGUCCUUGGCAAGCCAAUCAGAAGGCUCGUGGAACUGAGUUGAGGAAAAUUGCUUUUCUGAUUGGCUGUUAAUGUCACUUGAGUAUAAGAACGGUGUGUCCAGGGCGAAUGUUCUUACCUGAUUUAUAAAUAUGUAUGUACAUGUUUUGUGGACUGUAUUGUCUUAGGAUCGAAACAAUGAUAUUAUUGAUGAUCAGUUGAUGAUAAGCUUGAUGAUAACGAACCUUAGCUGUAAACAUGGCGCUAACUUUGUGACGGGGAUCACCUUUUUCGGAACUCAAUCGGGAGCCUCACACAAUAAACUUGCCACCACAACGUAAAUACGAGUUUUUUGAUGUGGAAGUCACGUUUCCUCCUGAAGUUGGUGGUAUAGAAGUCAUAUUUCCAAGCGGUGGACAUGAGCACCGCCUAACAUAAUUCUAGGUGCCUGUUAACUUGACGUGGUUGGACCGGAAUCCUGUACAAGAUGACAUAACGAGACGAUUGCUUUUUUUUGCGUGUGAGUUAAAAGAACUUUGACUUCUCUACACCUUACCAGCGAGGAGGUUUUCCCCCGUGAUCGACCCCGAACCGAACCAGCCUUGAUCGAAAAUGUUCUUGCGGAUUCUUCCUCGCUAUUAUAAGGUCACGUGAAUCAGUUCUUGUACCCAUAUCGUCUCGUUUGUUUUUUUGAGGUUACCGCCCACCUCGCCAGACUUUCGAACGGAGCCCCAAAAGGAAAAUAAACAUCAGAUGAAUAACCACGACGCCGACUUAAAUGUUCAUUCUUAGCCAGCACUAGUCUUUCACUGCUAACACAGUCUCAUAUCACAAGAUCGAAGUGUUGAGGUUCGUCUAGAACUGCAGGAGUGAAUUUUAUUUAUUCAGAAUAAUAAUAAUAAAAACAUAAAUAAUUAUUUGCAAACUAGCUGGAAUGGGCAAAAUUUUCACCUCUUACCUUUGUUUCCAUCACGAGCAUUGGUUUCUCGCAUCUGAACUACAAACUUUGACUCAAACCUGAACAUCACUUCUCGUAUUUCAAUCAUUUCUAUAUAUGAACUGUAAAACGACCGUAGAUUUUUUUCCGGAAAAUUUGCCCAGGAGAGUAGUGUGAACUAGCCGACUAUGCACCGCUAUUUCUCGAUAUCCGCAUAGGUUCAUAUUCUCCUUUUAGAAAGAUCUUGUAUCUAUUAUUAUCCUGUCAGUGUUGUACGUGUGUAUCGUGAACAUGAAGUACAUAGGCCUCCGUCUUCGUCCGGUAACGUGACGUCACCGCUGCAGCAUUCUGAUGUCAUGGACUUUGUGACGUCUCGCGUGACGUCACCAUUUGACACUAUAAUGCCAUAUCACUUUUGGAUGUUUUCUUUCAUGUUGCUCUUGCACUUUUCCCUCCGCGUCUCUUGCGUGUGGCGUCAACUCGCUCCAGCGAUGUGGACACGGUGCUGUAGGGAGACCUGGGCCAAAAUUAUAUACUGAAGCGUUAUCAAUAAAUCCGUAUAUAAGAUUAGGAAGUUCAUAGAGAAUGUGAAUGGGGAAGCCCGUUGGAAUGAGUUAUUAGUUAGUUUAUACAAACCAAACCCCCGAAAAAAAGUUUAAAAGAAGCCUUGUUGUCUCUUUAUCUUUUCAUUUCUUUUCUUUCCUUACUUUUGUGUCUCCAAUUUUAGUUAUGUUUUAGAACGUACAUGCAGUAUCUCUCUUAGGGAAUUUUCACCAAGCUUUCCCCUUUCACUCCCUUACUCUCGAGUUUACCAAUGCUAAACAUUAGUUAAUAGGUAUUACUAGUAUCAAAGUGUGAUCUGUGGGUUUAUAGCAUCGUGGUAUGUCAAUUAGGCAGUUUUCUUUCCCUUGUCCUUACAAAAAAAAAGAAAGCUAAAUGCAAUGACAGAGUAACCGAAUAAAAUAGAAAGAGAAAAUGGAAAAAAUCAAAGAGCAACUCUCGUGUUUCUUUUUCAUUCGAUCGGUGGACAUUUUCCUUCUUCUUUUUUUUCUUUUCUUUUCUUUUCGUGAACAGAAACGUGUUAUCAUUAAUUUUGUCUGUUUUUUCCUGGUUAUCAAAAGAUCCUCUUCGUCACAAACGCGUCGGUGGUCAUGAUUUGUAAGGGUGAUUGUAAUGGAUAACAAAAUUACCCUUCGUUUUGAUGAGAUGACUGUGCAGUGUUCCCUUCCCUCGAACACUGUUAACGUUUUUUAUGUAGGAUCCCUUCUCUCGCCUCAUAGAAAAGUUGUAGGCCAACAACUCACAAUAUGUUCCGUAGUGUCGUUAAUACAUGUUGAUUUUUUAUAGUAAAUAUGCGGUUUCGCAAACUGAUCAGAGUGACUUUUAAACUUUUUAGAUAUAUCAUAACAGAAGUGUUUGUAGUGGUAACAAGAGAUGUAAAUCAUAAGUAUGUCCAUAGAAUUGUCUAAGUAUACCCUACAAAAUAUCCAAAGCAAGCCACCUUCGCCCAUUUUCUGUAACAAUUUUCACACACGAGGAAAUAAAAUAAAAAAAAUACAAGAACAUAAUAUAAUAGGCAUGAGUUUUUAUCAUUGUUAUGGGUAGAGGAGAGUAUUCUUUAGGUAGCUUUACCGAUGUUAAAAAUACCUGUGAUGUGGAAAGUUACUUGGUAAUUAAACCUUGUUUAUUUUAAGCCCGCUGAGACGGAGCAAACCCUGCCACUCCCUUUACAGUCACACUAUUGUAAUAAAUAAGAUACAGAAGUA